rfam:Setaria italica strain Yugu1 chromosome IX, whole genome shotgun sequence.
UGGCUUGGAUGACAACAACAUACGUUUCUCGAUCCUGAUACUUGAUGUGUUCAAGGACCAAACUUUGAUGACCUUUGUGCGUGUCUGAGCCUG